GCCGAGGAGGGGGAGCAGCCGCGCCCGGAGGAGGUCGUCCCCAACGCAUCCAUCUAGUCGUCGACCUUAACUACACUGCAGUCGCCGCUGCUGGUCCAGGUCGCCCAGUUGACACUGGCCCUGCCGGAGUGCAGCUCAUCCUGCCCGAGGACAUGAUACGUAUUUGGCAAUGUUAUCUCUUGGGCUGCCCAAUUGAUCACUGAAGCUGGUGGCAAGGUGGCCGCCAUCAGAGAUGUCACAGGGGCUGUCAAGAACUCCAAUGGCAUUGACAUAGCCAAGCCGAUGAAGCACUCGGCAGAGAACCGCGGGAUCAAGGGCUUUGACGGAGGCGAUGCUGUCGACCUGAUCUCCCUGCUCACGGAAAAGUGUGACGUGCUCAUCCCGGCAGCUCUGGGAGGAGUCAUAAACAAAUUCUGGCAAAGAAGGGCGUACUGAUCCUACUGGACAUCCUGGCCAACUCCAGCGGAGUGAUGGUGAGCUACUUCAAGUGGGUGCAGAACAUCUAGGGGUUCAUGUGGGACGAGGAGAAGGUGAAUCGGGAGCUCAAGACGUACAUGACCUGCACCUCAAACAUAGUUCUGAUUAUUUAGGCAGUGUAUGUCACAGUAUAGAAUGGACAGUAAUUAUGUAUUGUAUAUCUUUGAAAAC